rnacentral:rRNA from 1 species
AGUGAACGCUGGCGGUAGGCCUAACACAUGAAAGUCGAACGGCAGCACAGUAAGAGCUUUCUCUUACGGGUGGCGAGUGGCGGACGUGUGAGGUAUACAUCCGAAUCUACUUUUUCGUGGGGGAUAACGUAGGGAAACUUACGCUAAUACCGCAUACGACCUACGGGUGAAAGCAGGGGAUCUUCGGACCUUGCGCGAUUGCAUGAGCCGAUGUCGGAUUAGCUAGUUGGCGGGGUAAAGGCCCACCAAGGCGACGAUCCGUAGCUGGUCUGAGAGGAUGAUCAGCCACCCUACAAGUGCGGCAAGAUCCUGCCUACUCCGGGAGGCAGCAGUGGGGGAUAUUGGUCGAUGAGCGGAGGGAUGAUCAAGCCAUCACGCCUGGGUGAAGAAGGCCUUCGGGUUGUAAAGCCCUUUUGUUGGGAAAGAAAAGCAGCAGGUUAAUACCCCGCUGUUCUGACGGUACCCAAAGAAUAAGCACCGGCUAACUUCGUG